GAGCAGACGAGCACUACAGAGGGGAGGAUGGAGCAGAUGAGCACUACAGAGGGGAGGUUGGAGCAGAUGAGCACUACAGAGGGGGAGAUGGAGCAGACGAGCACUUCGGAGGGUCAAGCUGUCUUCACAGGGUCAGCCAGGGGCACAGUCACAAGUCCCAAAAAGAAAAAGUCAGGUGGACUAAGACAUAUGCCAGAGAGGAAAAAGCCACAAAAGAGUAAGUGCAUGUAAAUGCAAUGAUUGAUGCUUCCAUCAGUGUGUUGACAUUGCUAUUUUACCCUUGGUUAUUUGCUCUAUUUCUAUUGGGUUUUUUAACUACUUACAACAGAUAAUUGGUCCUAACAGACAAACUAUAAAAUCCAACUGGCUUCAGGUGUCUAAUUUGACCAAAAUGCAUUGCCAAGUAGUAGAAGAAGCAGCAGUAGAGUAUUCUCAAUUGUGAUCUGUGGCUCAGCAGAGGUAUUGUUAUCCCAGAAAGAAUACCACAUUUGAACUGAGAAUAAUUUGGUUAUAGGGUACAAGUUAAACCUGGUUCAACUUUUGAUUAAAGAUAAACAUCACUUGUCAUCCUUGUAAGUCUGGUCACUACUUAAGUCUUCUUAGUUGUUUAUUUUGUUCCUAAUCUAAGAAAUGUGUGAAACAUGUUUUUGAUGUUCACAGAUUGCUCCUAUCACGCUCGCUUAGAGACUUUCCCCAUCAGGAGUGUUGUAAGAGAAAGAGUGAGAAAGGGCAAAGCAGAAAUGUUGGUUGACUGGGAGCCCUGUCCAGUAUGUGGCAAGGAGUGGGCCCAUUCCUGGCAGCCAAAGGAUUCUCUUCAAAUGAAUAAAAAUAAAUAAAAUGUACAAUUGUAAUCCA